CGAAAGCCUGACGGAGCAAUACCGCGUGAGGGAGGAAGGCUUUUGGGUUGUAAACCUCUUUUAUUAAGGAAGAAGCAAGUGACGGUACUUGAAGAAUCAGCAUCGGCUAACUCCGUGCCAGCAGCCGCGGUAAUACGGAGGAUGCAAGCGUUAUCCGGAAUCAUUGGGCGUAAAGCGUCCGCAGGUGGCUGUUCAAGUCUGCUGUCAAAGACAGAAGCUUAACUUCGGAAAGGCGGUGGAAACUGAAGAGCUAGAGUAAAGCAGGGGUAGAGGGAAUUCCCAGUGUAGCGGUGAAAUGCGUAGAGAUUGGGAAGAACACCAGUGGCGAAGGCGCUCUACUGGGCUUUAACUGACACUCAGAGACGAAAGCUAGGGUAGCG
rnacentral:rRNA from 1 species